rnacentral:rRNA from 1 species
AACGAACGCUGGCGGCAUGCCUAACACAUGCAAGUCGAACGAGACCUUCGGGUCUAGUGGCGCACGGGUGCGUAACGCGGGGGAACCUGCCCGUAGGUUCGGAAUAACUCCCCGAAAGGGGUGCUAAUACCGGAUAAUGUCUUCGGACCAAAGAUUUAUCGCCUUUGGAUGGGCCCGCGUUGGAUUAGCUGGUUGGUAGGGUAAAAGCCUACCAAGGCGACGAUCCAUAGCUGGUCUGAGAGGAUGAUCAGCCACACUGGGACUGAGACACGGCCCAGACUCCUACGGGAGGCAGCAGUGGGGAAUAUUGGACAAUGGGCGAAAGCCUGAUCCAGCCAUGCCGCGUGAGUGAUGAAGGCCUUAGGGUUGUAAAGCUCUUUUACCCGGGAUGAUAAUGACAGUACCGGGAGAAUAAGCUCCGGCUAACUCCGUG